CCUGAAUUGUUGGUACUCCGAUAAUAUUGAUAAUCUUUUUUGAUCGUAAUAUGAAAAAACCGAAAGGAUUGCUGAACGUUGUCCAAUCUACGCUGCUUACUUAGGCCCCGUUUGGUAAGGGGAUAAAUGAGGGGUUAAGGUGGUUUAGCCCUUCGUUAUUCUGCCAAACACCAAAAAACGCCCACAGAAUAACAAACCCGCACGUGAUGAUUUUAUCCCGUUUAUCAGCCUAACCUCUGGGAUAACUAAUACUCGUGGGAAGGCGGAACAAGGCUUGUCCCGUCUUCUCAUGCGAGGGUAGCCACAGGAAUUAUGGAAAAUUGGGAUUUUGUGAUAAUAGGCGACGAAAAUCGGCGAACAGAAAUGGAAGAGCGAUCUUUCUCAACUAUAUAGCGCUAUUUUUGGGGGAGCAAUCAAGAAGAGAGAAAUUAUCAGUCGAUUGGGAGCAAUUGGCGACGGGAGGCAAAGGAUCUGAGGUCUGUUAUCUAAAUAAAUUCCUAUUUCUUGAUUUUCAUAUUCCAAUUUUUUUGAUUUUCAUACUUUCUUCUUUCCUUUGUGAAAAAUUGAAUGAUUGGGAGCAAUCAGAGUAAUUUUGUUCCCGUGAUCUUGGUUUUCAACAAAGUUUUAAUAGGACAUAAAUUUAUCAUGUUUACUGGCACUGGUUUAUUUGAAGAAAAUUUUCAUGUA